rnacentral:rRNA from 1 species
GACGAACGCUGGCGGCGUGCUUAACACAUGCAAGUCGAACGCUGAAGCUCAGCUUUUGUUGGGUGGAUGAGUGGCGAACGGGUGAGUAACACGUGAGUAACCUGCCCCCUUCUUUGGGAUAACGCCCGGAAACGGGUGCUAAUACUGGAUAUUCACUGGUCUUCGCAUGGGGGUUGGUGGAAAGGAUUUUUCUGGUGGGGGAUGGGCUCGCGGCCUAUCAGCUUGUUGGUGGGGUGAUGGCCUACCAAGGCUUUGACGGGUAGCCGGCCUGAGAGGGUGACCGGUCACAUUGGGACGGAGAUACGGCCCAGACUCCUACGGGGGGCAGAAGUGGGGAAUAUUGCACCAUGGGCGCAAGCCUGAUGCAGCGACGCCGCGUGAGGGAUGGAGGCCUUCGGGUUGUGAACCUCUUUCGCUCAUGGUCAAGCCGCAACAAUGGUUGUGGUGAGGGUAGUGGGUAAAGAAGCGCCGGCUAACUACGUG